AUUUGUUACUAUUUAUUUUCUCCUUCUAUUCACUUUUGUAUUUAAUUUUGUACUUAUAAUUUUGCCUUCAUUUUCUUUAAAAGAGUGAACAUCAUUCAGGCCAAGUAAACCUGCAUCGGCCCCCGUGCAUAGGCUGCAAUGAAGAGAUGGGAACGGCCAGCCUGCCCAGGACAGAGGCUGAGAACUGGGGAAUCACAGCCAGCAGCCAUUCUGCAGGAGCAGCGCAGCCUGCCCUGGCCUGCUGGGGGUGGCGCCAAGCCCUCAGGGAUUCCCAAGGAAGACUCAUCCCCUGUCUAAACUUUCAACGUUUGACCAGAACAGGACAGUUCCAGCUUUAGAACUGUGGGAGGUAAAUGGGUUGGUACAGUCC
rnacentral:lncRNA from 1 species